AUGAGCUUCUUCAAGGAUGCAGGACUUGGUGGUACUGCUUGGAUUUAGAGAGUCCUCAAGAGGUUUUAUUUUUUCUGCUAUAGAAAACAUGCUAUUUGUCAUGCUAGACCCGGGUUAACAUAAAGUAAUUUAUGAAUCCACAAAGCUGCAGAAUCUGCAUGUGGCUUGUAACAACAAAACCUUUAGUGCAUGUUAGAAAGCUGCUGCACAUUCAUUCAUUUCCACUUUGUUUACAUCAUUUAAAACACAUAGCUCAUUUUAAUGUAGCCAUGCUGUAAUGUUUCUAAAUCUCAUAACCUCAACAACGUAAUGCUGGAAAAUCCACUUCCAAAUCCAGCUAUAUAUUUCAUUUCCAGUCUCUACGUUUGUCUCUUUGCAGCUGAUUUUCGUCCAUUUGGCACUCAUGCAGCAAUGCCUUUGAAAUGUUUCCCUCAUUCUCUAUCUCCUCCCUUUCCCCCCCUCCCCUCACACCAUCACUCUUUUCCUCCUCCUCCUCCUCCUCUCUUCUCCCUCUUUUUCUCAUCACCCUCCUCUGUUCAGUCUCCCACAUCCUCUUGGACUCUGGUCUGGGUCUCAUGCUCAUGACUCAUCAUCCCACAUGGAAAGAUGUUCUCUGUGGAUGUGAGGGAGGUUUUACUGCCGUUAGUAAGAAUUUAAACAACACCCCCGCCAAGUUGGAGCAAAAGGAAAAUGUG